UACCUCUUAGUCGUAAGGAUGCCUCUAUAGGCGCCAGGAUCUUUGUAAAGAUUUGAGGGGCUGAUGAGAGGCCAAAGGGAAGUGCCUUGAACGGAAAAUGUAGAAUCUUCAGUUUUCCCGUUAAAAUUGCAAAUCUUAGGAACUUCUGAGAAAACACAGACACUAGGGUAGGCCGGAAGGAACGGUCUUGUUUUUGUACCAGAAACAGGCGUUAG